UAGGGAAUCUUCGGCAAUGGACGGAAGUCUGACCGAGCAACGCCGCGUGAGUGAAGAAGGUUUUCGGAUCGUAAAGCUCUGUUGUAAGAGAAGAACGAGUGUGAGAGUGGAAAGUUCACACUGUGACGGUAUCUUACCAGAAAGGGACGGCUAACUACGUGCCAGCAGCCGCGGUAAUACGUAGGUCCCGAGCGUUGUCCGGAUUUAUUGGGCGUAAAGCGAGCGCAGGCGGUUUGAUAAGUCUGAAGUUAAAGGCUGUGGCUCAACCAUAGUUCGCUUUGGAAACUGUCAAACUUGAGUGCAGAAGGGGAGAGUGGAAUUCCAUGUGUAGCGGUGAAAUGCGUAGAUAUAUGGAGGAACACCGGUGGCGAAAGCGGCUCUCUGGUCUGUAACUGACGCUGAGGCCCGAAAGCGUGGGGAGCGAACAGGAUUAGAUACCCUGGUAGUCCACGCCGUAAACGAUGAGUGCUAGGUGUUGGAUCCUUUCCGGGAUUCAGUGCCGCAGCUAGCGCAUUAAGCACUCCGCCUGGGGAGUACGACCGCAAGGUUG
rnacentral:rRNA from 1 species